rnacentral:autocatalytically_spliced_intron from 1 species
AUGAGCCGUAUACGAGGUCCGUACGUACGAUUCUGUGAGAGGGAUGAGGCGGUAACGCCUCACCCUACUCGUUU